UACGUAGGGGGCGAGCGUUGUCCGAAGUUACUGGGCGUAAAGCGCGCGUAGGCGGGGGGUUAAGUGAGAGGUGAAAGGCUGGGGCUCAACCUCAUGCAGUGCCUCUCAUACUGGCCUUCUUGAGGGCGGUAGGGAGAAGUGGAAUGGCUGGUGUAGCGGUGAAAUGCGUAGAUAUCAGGAGGAACACCGGUGGCGAAGGCGGGUCUCUGGGCCGUAACUGACGCUGAGGAGCGAAAGCAUGGGGAGCGAACAGG
rnacentral:rRNA from 1 species